rnacentral:rRNA from 1 species
GAUGAACGCUGGCGGCGUGCCUAAUACAUGCAAGUCGAGCGAACAGACGAGGAGCUUGCUCCUCUGACGUUAGCGGCGGACGGGUGAGUAACACGUGGAUAACCUACCUAUAAGACUGGGAUAACUUCGGGAAACCGGAGCUAAUACCGGAUAAUAUAUUGAACCGCAUGGUUCAAUAGUGAAAGACGGUUUUGCUGUCACUUAUAGAUGGAUCCGCGCCGCAUUAGCUAGUUGGUAAGGUAACGGCUUACCAAGGCAACGAUGCGUAGCCGACCUGAGAGGGUGAUCGGCCACACUGGAGCUGAGACACGGUCCAGGCUCCUACGGGAGGCAGCAGUAGGGAAUCUUCCGCAAUGGGCGAAAACUUGACGGAGCAACGCCGCGUGAGUGAUGAAGGUCUUCGGAUCGUAAAACUCUGUUAUUAGGGAAGAACAAAUGUGUAAGUAACUAUGCACGUCUUGACGGUACCUAAUCAGAAAGCCACGGCUAACUACGUG